UACGGGGGGGGCAAGCGUUGUUCGGAAUUACUGGGCGUAAAGGGCUCGUAGGCGGCCAACUAAGUCAGACGUGAAAUCCCUCGGCUUAACCGGGGAACUGCGUCUGAUACUGGAUGGCUAGAGUUUGGGAGAGGGAUGCGGAAUUCCAGGUGUAGCGGUGAAAUGCGCAGAUAUCAGGAAGAACACCUAUGGCGAAGGCAGCACUCUGGGACGGUACUGACGCUGAGACGCGAAAGCGUGGGGAGCGAACAGG
rnacentral:rRNA from 1 species